rnacentral:rRNA from 1 species
GACUCUCGACAACGGAUAUCUCGGCUCUCGCAUCGAUGAAGAACGUAGUGAAAUGCGAUACUUGGUGUGAAUUGCAAAAUCCCGUGAACCAUCGAGUCUUUGAACGCAAGUUGCGCCCGAAGCCGUCAGGCCGAAGGCACGUCUGCCUGGGCGUC